AGAGUUUGAUCCUGGCUCAGAUUGAACGCUGGCGGCGUGCCUAACACAUGCAAGUCGAGCGGUAACAGGUGUAGCAAUACAUGCUGACGAGCGGCGAACGGGUGAGUAAUGCUUCGGAAUCUACCCAGUAGUGGGGAAUAACCAAUCGAAAGGUUGGCUAAUACCGCAUACGUCCUACGGGAGAAAGCGGGGGUCGCAAGACCUCGCGCUAUUGGAUGAGCCGAAGUCGGAUUAGCUAGUUGGUGAGGUAACGGCUCACCAAGGCGACGAUCCGUAGCUGGUCUGAGAGGACGACCAGCCACACUGGAACUGAGACACGGUCCAGACUCCUACGGGAGGCAGCAGUGGGGAAUAUUGGACAAUGGGGGAAACCCUGAUCCAGCGACGCCGCGUGUGUGAAGAAGGCCUGCGGGUUGUAAAGCACUUUUAGUGGGGAUGAAAAGUUCAGGGCUAAUAUCCUUGGGCAUUGACCUAACCCACAGAAAAAGCACCGGCUAACUCUGUGCCAGCAGCCGCGGUAAUACAGAGGGUGCAAGCGUUAAUCGGAAUUACUGGGCGUAAAGCGUGCGUAGACGGUUCCGUAAGUCGGGUGUGAAAGCCCCGGGCUCAACCUGGGAAUUGCAUUCGAGACUGCGAAGCUAGGGUGCGGAAGAGGGAAGCGGAAUUUCUGGUGUAGCGGUGAAAUGCGUAGAUAUCAGAAGGAACAUCAGUGGCGAAAGCGGCUUCCUGGUCCAGCGCCGACGUUCAAGCACGAAAGCGUGGGGAGCAAACAGGAUUAGAUACCCCAGUAGUCC
rnacentral:rRNA from 1 species